rnacentral:rRNA from 1 species
AACGAACGCUGGCGGCAUGCCUAACACAUGCAAGUCGAACGAGACCUUCGGGUUUAGUGGCGCACGGGUGCGUAACGCGUGGGAACCUGCCCUUAGGUUCGGAAUAACUCCCCGAAAGGGGUGCUAAUACCGGAUAAUGUCUUCGGACCAAAGAUUUAUCGCCUUUGGAUGGGCCCGCGUUGGAUUAGCUAGUUGGUAGGGUAACAGCCUAUCAAGGCGACGAUCCAUAGCUGGUCUGAGAGGAUGAUCAGCCACACUGGGACUGAGACACGGCCCAGACUCCUACAGGAGGCAGCAGUGGGGAAUAUUGGACAAUGGGCGAAAGCCUGAUCCAGCAAUGCCGCAUGAGUGAUGAAGGCCUUAGAGUUGUAAAGCUCUUUUACCCGGGAUGAUAAUGGCAGUACCGGGAGAAUACGCUCCGGCAAACUCCG